CAUUUCUGUCUACCCCCUCUGCAGAGAUCAGUCUUGAUGUGCAUCCCUCCCCAAUCCUAAGUAUCCCCAGCCUAAGACAUUCUGGGCCAGAGGGCUAAGGCCAUGAGUCUGGCUGGUCACGCAAGUUUUGCUCAGGCCUUUGCCACUCCAUAGACUGGUUGCCACUGGGUCCUCCAGCCAGAGAGGGUGAGACAGGUAGACUCUCCUUGGGGUGUCACCAGACACCAGGAGGGCUGGGCCACUCACAGUCCUUAAAAAUACCAAAGUCUAGGUAAACCCUGGCUCCUUUAGGAAUAAAACAACGUGGGUGUAGGUGUCUGGAUGAACACACUGCCACGGAAUGGAGAGGAAUCAACCACUCAGCUUAGGUAUCCCAGGCAGAGUUGAGGUUACUGAAGGCAAAGGGAGGCCAGGGGCAAAUCAAUAUCACGGCUUCCCAGCAGAGCCGGGUCAGCACAACAUCUGGGCUGCUUAUUUUGGUCUAGUGCCUCGGUUUUGUUUCCUCAAGAGAAAAUAAAAUCAACACCAGCAGGCUAAGGGUUCACAUGCCAUUUUGUGGUGCAAACCCCAGAGGAAGGAAUGUGGAGCCUUUGGGGGGCAAGAAUGCUAAGGUGGCCAAAGGGCUCUUUGCUUUGACAGCAAGGACUACUUCCCCUUCCGGAAAGCAGCUCCAGAGGCAGCUUCAUUCCUGUGAUACUGCACAAGUGGUUCUCAUGCUGGCAACUCUCUGGCUGGGGCAAACACAGACCUGCAUGCAAUAACCAGGAAUAGAAAUCCACAAGGCUUGGAACCUCGAGGACUGAAACGUUCAGAUGACACCGUCACCUUCCAGGAAAUUGCCUCACGCUCUGCUUCUGAGUUCCACAUUGUGACUUAUAUCCUCUUGGGUGCUGGCUCCCCAAUGACACACAGGGAGGACAGGGCAGAGGAAGUGAAAGCCUCGCCCUGCAGAAAGCAGCUCAUUUGUAACCUGGUGCCUGCUCAGCUGGAAUCUGAUUCUCAGAAACAUGCUUUGCUGUCCAUACAGAGAAGACCAUCCAUUCAAUUUCUCAGAAGAAGAAGCAAAGGCUAGUUGGGGGCACCCUGCCACACCCCUUUUGAGGAGGUCAGUAUGACUAUUUUUUUCCCCAGUAUAUUUACUAUUAAAGUAAAAAAACCCA